GACGAACGCUGGCGGCGUGCCUAAUACAUGCAAGUCGAACGCUGAAGGCUGAGCUUUCUUCUCUGGAUUAGUUGCGAAAGGGUGAGUAACGAGUAGGUAACCUUCCUGGUAGCGGGUGAAUACUCUUUGAAACGAUCGCUAAUACCGCAUAAGAGUAGAUGUUGCAUGACAUUUGCUUAAAAUGUGCAAUUUCUUUACUAUCAUAUGGAGCUGCGUUGUAUUAGCUCGUUGGUGGGGUAUCGGCUCAUCAAGGCGACGAUACAUAGCGGCCCUGAGAGGGUGAUCGGGCACGGUGGGACUGAGACAGGGCUCAGACUCAUACGGGAGGCAGCAGUAGGGAAGGGUGGGAAAGGGAAGGAAGUGGGACCGAGCAACGCCGAGUGAGUGAAGAAGGUGGUCGGAUCGUAAAGCUCUGUUGUAAGAGAAGAACGAGUGUGAGAGUGGAAAGUGCACACUGUGACGGUAUCUGACCAGAAAGCGACGGCUAACUACGUG
rnacentral:rRNA from 1 species